GACACCUUAAAAAAGAAAAAAAAAAAACACAAAAAGUAAUAAAGAAAAGCAAAAGACAAUGAAACUAAACGUCAACUUCAUCACCCUCUUAUCCAUAACCCUUGCCCUAUGCUUUGCAAUAUGCAACGCGCAUGACUCACCCAGCGUCGAAGAGCCUCAGUCCGAACCGCCACCGACGAAGUCUACAGCGGACGAGGCAACAGGGGCCCCAGAAUCGGAGGACCCGGCAUCGGCUGACUCCGAUUCGGCGGAUCCGGCAUCGGAGGAACCAUUAGUGGACCCGACAUCGGCUAACCCGACAUUCAUGGACCAGUCAUUGGCUGACCCACCAACAGAUGACCCGGCAUCGGCGGACUCGCCAUCUGAGGAACCGGUGACGGAACCCUCCGUGGACCCGUUAAGAGAUAGCCCUGCAAUGAAGGACCCGGAGGAACUGUAUGGGGACCUGAAAUCUGCUACCACGGAAUCGGCCGACCCGCCAUCAGAGGAUCCGGAAUCGGCGGACCCGCCAUCGGAGGACCCGGUAUCAGAGGACCCGGCAUCAGAGGGCCCGGCGUCGGAGGACACGUCAUUCGCGGACGCGCCAACGGCGGAGUCGCCAUUCUCGAACACCUUCGAGGAAGGCUUCUUUGGCGGGGGUGGUGGCGUGCAACUCCGCAAAGCGUUUAAGUCGUUCUUAGGCGAAAUCCGGGUGGGGUCGUUGCGUGGAAGCAAGACGAUUACGAUGCUCAACCGCCACGACCGUGACUCUGUGAAGGAAAUCUGCUCCCGCACGGACUACCCCGACGACUGCCUCUCCACCGUGGUGCCCUUCCUGGGCAACAACUUCGAUCUCAUGAGCGUACUGGAAGCCGCCAUCAAAGCCUGCUCCUUCCAGACCAACUUCACCAUCUCCAUUGUCGACAAACACAUGAAAUCCUCAUCGGAGAUGGCCACCGCCCUCACUAACUGCAAGGAGCAGUACACCAACGCCUUCCAGAGCCUGCAGCAGGCCUUGAAUGCCCUCACCUCUCACGACCUCGCCACCGUGACCGUCAUGCUGAGCUCCGUGAUGGCGGAUGUGUCCACCUGCGAGAGCGGCUUCGAGGACCUCAAGUUGGCUAAGGGUCGUGCUGAUGGCAUGGUCAGCAUAACGGUUAGCAACUGUCUUUCCAUUGCUUCCAUGAUUCCCUCUUCUUAGGGCAUUGGUAUCACAUAAAUGUACGUUAUUUUUGUAAAUAAAAGUUUAGUUGUGAAGCAUCAACUAAAGACAAACAAUUCUUUUUUUUUUUUUUUUAUGGAAUGGAUGUAUGAGUUAUUCAUUCACACUUCAAAUGUAUUUUUAGAUGUUUAGUCCACAAACAAAAUUAUA
rnacentral:lncRNA from 1 species